UUCCCCUACCCAUCGGCAGGUGACUUUUCUAGGGGGAAAUAGAUAGAUAUCUCAUAUCUAUCUAUCAAUCUAUCUAUCUAAAAUCGGUCACAUGAUACCUACACAGAGAUCAAGGUAGUGAAUGCUGGAAUGGCGUCUGUAGUGUGUGUAGAAUACAAAACUAGAAACCCCUUCUAGGCAGGAAUAUCACAGCAGCGUGUUGAGAGAACAAUGAGUUGACAGAUGAAGAAAACACAAACUUUCGGAUGUUUUACACAUUGUCAAAUCACUUGAGUUGUUGCCAAGCCGAUGUCUGUGAGAAAUUAUUUCUUCACCUAGCGUGAUUUGUGUAAGUGACACGCAGCUUCAGGAAGUUACACCUGUACACGAGCGGGGGUGUCAUUUGCCCGCGCCAUCAACUGUGCAUAUCCAAUUCGCUUGUCAAUCACCAUGCCAGACAGGUGAUCUCUAUCACAUUCAAAUGUAGGAGAGAGCAAGAAAAAAUAAAAAU